rnacentral:rRNA from 1 species
CGGGGGAGAGGGCUAGCUUGUUGGUCGUCACCUGUGUUGCAAAUAUAUUUAAUCCACACGACUCUCGGCAACGGAUAUCUCGGCUCUCGCAUGGAUGAAGAACGUAGCGAAAUGCGAUACCUGGUGUGAAUUGCAGAAUCCCGCGAACCAUCGAGUCUUUGAACGCAAGUUGCGCCCGGGGCCACUCGGCCGAGGGCACGCCUGCCUGGGCGUCACGUCAAAACACGCUCCCAACCACCCUCUUCGGGAAUUGGGAUGCGGCAUAUGGUCCCUCGUCUGCAAGGGGCGGUGGGCCGAAGAUCGGGCUGCCGGCGUACCGCGUCGGACACAGCGCAUGGUGGGCGUCCUUGCCUUAUCAAUGCAGUGCAUCCGACGCGUAGACGGCAUCAUGGCCUCGAAACGACCCAUCGAACGAAGUGCACGUCGCUUCGACCGCGACCCCAGGUCAGGCGGGACUACCCGCUGAG